GACGAACGCUGGCGGCGUGCUUAACACAUGCAAGUCGUACGGUAAGGCCCUUCCGGGGGUACACGAGUGGCGAACGGGUGAGUAACACGCGAGUAACCUGCCUACCACUUUGGGAUAACGCAAGUAAACUGGCUCUAACUCUGGACAUGUGCUCCUGCCUCCUGGUGGGGGUGGGAAAGCUCCGGCGGGUGGGGAUGGAUUCGCGGCCUACUAGUUUGUUGGUGGGGUAGUGGCCUACCAACGAGGCGACGGGUAGGCGGCCCGGGGGGGUGACCGGCCACAUUGGGGCUGGGGUACGGCCCAGACUCCUACGGGAGGCAACAGGGGGGAAUAUUGCACCAUGGGCGCAAGCCUGGUGCAACAACGCCGCGUGGGGGGUGACGGGCUUCGGGUUGUAAACCGGUUUCCGCAGGGACGGAGCUUUGUGUGACGGUACCUGCAGAAGAAGCACCGGCUAACUACGUG
rnacentral:rRNA from 1 species